UAGGGAAUCUUCGGCAAUGGACGAAAGUCUGACCGAGCAACGCCGCGUGAGUGAAGAAGGUUUUCGGAUCGUAAAACUCUGUUGUUAGCGAAGAACAAGGACGUUAGUAACUGAACGUCCCCUGACGGUAUCUAACCAGAAAGCCACGGCUACCUACGUGCCAGCAGCCGCGGUAAUACGUAGGUGGCAAGCGUUGUCCGGAUUUAUUGGGCGUAAAGCGAGCGCAGGCGGUUUCUUAAGUCUGAUGUGAAAGCCCCCGGCUCAACCGGGGAGGGUCAUUGGAAACUGGGAGACUUGAGUGCAGAAGAGGAGAGUGGAAUUCCAUGUGUAGCGGUGAAAUGCGUAGAUAUAUGGAGGAACACCAGUGGCGAAGGCGGCUCUCGGGUCUGUAACUGACGCUGAGGCUCGAAAGCGUGGGGAGCAAACAGG
rnacentral:rRNA from 1 species